GAGUGUGAUCAUACUAACACUAAUGUGCUGAAUCUCAUCAAAACUUAAUAGUUAAGCGUAUUUAGACAAAAGUGGUACUAAAGUGCUAAGGAAGUCCUCGUGUUGCAUCUU
rnacentral:rRNA from 2 species